rnacentral:tRNA from 1 species
GGGGAUAUAGCUCAGUUGGUAGAGUGCUUGCCUUGCAUCCACAAGACCCUGGGUUCAGUCCCCAGUACCCCCC